GACGAACCGAGCGAACGUUGUUCGGAAUCACUGGGCUUAAAGGGCGCGUAGGCGGGUGCUCAAGUCCGUGGUGAAAUCCUCCGGCUCAACCGGAGAACUGCCUCGGAUACUGGGUGCCUCGAGGGUGGUAGGGGUAUGCGGAACUAUCGGUGGAGCGGUGAAAUGCGUUGAUAUCGAUAGGAACUCCGGUGGCGAAGGCGGCAUACUGGACCACCUCUGACGCUGAGGCGCGAAAGCUAGGGGAGCAAACAGG
rnacentral:rRNA from 1 species